AUUGAACGCUGGCGGCAGGCUUAACACAUGCAAGUCGAGCGGGGGAAAGUACUUCGGUACUGACCUUAGCGGCGGACGGGUGAGUAAUACUUAGGAAUCUGCCUAUUAGUGGGGGACAACAUCACGAAAGGGAUGCUAAUACCGCAUACGUCCUACGGGAGAAAGCAGGGGAUCUUUAUGACCUGGCGCUAAUAGAUGAGCCUAAGACGGAUUAGCUAGUUGGUGGGGUAAAGGCCUACCAAGGCGACGAUCUGUAGCGGGUCUGAGAGGAUGAUCCGACACACUGGGACUGAGACACGGCCCAGACUCCUACGGGAGGCAGCAGUGGGGAAUAUUGGACAAUGGGGGGAACCCUGAUCCAGCCAUGCCGCGUGUGUGAAGAAGGCCUUAUGGUUGUAAAGCACUUUAAGCGAUGAGGAGGCUCAUUUGGUUAAUACCCAAGAUGAGUGGACGUUACUCGCAGAAGAAGCACCGGCUAACUCUGUGCCAGCCGCCGCUGUAA
rnacentral:rRNA from 1 species